UACGGAGGGUGCAAGCGUUGCUCGGAAUUACUGGGCGUAAAGGGCGUGUAGGCGGUUUCGUAUGUCUGGCGUGAAAGCCCCGGGCUCACCUCGGGAAGUGCGUCGGAAACUGCGAGACUAGAGUCCCGGAGAGGGAGGUGGAAUUCCAGGUGUAGCGGUGAAAUUCGUAGAUAUUAGGAAGAACACCGGUGGCGAAGGCGGCCCACUGGUCCGGUACUGACGCUGAGGUGCGAAAGCGUGGGGAGCAAACAGG
rnacentral:rRNA from 1 species